rnacentral:rRNA from 1 species
UGGGGAAUAUUGGACAAUGGGCGAAAGCCUGAUCCAGCCAUGCCGCGUGUGUGAAGAAGGCCUUUUGGUUGUAAAGCACUUUAAGCGAGGAGGAGGCUACUUGGAUUAAUACUCUAGGAUAGUGGACGUUACUCGCAGAAUAAGCACCGGCUAACUCUGUGCCAGCAGCCGCGGUGAUACAGAGGGUGCGAGCGUUAAUCGGAUUUACUGGGCGUAAAGCGUGCGUAGGCGGCUUCUUAAGUCGGAUGUGAAAUCCCUGAGCUUAACUUAGGAAUUGCAUUCGAUACUGGGAAGCUAGAGUAUGGGAGAGGAUGGUAGAAUUCCAGGUGUAGCGGUGAAAUGCGUAGAGAUCUGGAGGAAUACCGAUGGCGAAGGCAGCCAUCUGGCCUAAUACUGACGCUGAGGUACGAAAGCAUGGGGAGCAAACAGG